rnacentral:rRNA from 1 species
AACGAACGCUGGCGGCAUGCCUAACACAUGCAAGUCGAACGAGACCUUCGGGUCUAGUGGCGCACGGGUGCGUAACACGUGGGAAUCUGCCCUUCGGUUCGGAAUAACAGUUAGAAAUGACUGCUAAUACCGGAUAAUGACGUAAGUCCAAAGAUUUAUCGCCGAAGGAUGAGCCCGCGUAGGAUUAGGUAGUUGGUGGGGUAAUGGCCUACCAAGCCGACGAUCCUUAGCUGGUCUGAGAGGAUGAUCAGCCACACUGGGACUGAGACACGGCCCAGACUCCUACGGGAGGCAGCAGUGGGGAAUAUUGGACAAUGGGCGAAAGCCUGAUCCAGCAAUGCCGCGUGAGUGAUGAAGGCCUUAGGGUUGUAAAGCUCUUUUACCCGGGAUGAUAAUGACAGUACCGGGAGAAAAAGCUCCGGCUAACUCCGUGCCAGCCGCCGCCGUAACAC